rnacentral:rRNA from 2 species
ACGGAAGGCAGCAGUGGGGGAUAUUGCACAAUGGGGGAAACCCUGAUGCAGCGACGCCGCGUGAGUGAAGAAGUAUUUCGGUAUGUAAAGCUCUAUCAGCAGGGAAGAAAAUGACGGUACCUGACUAAGAAGCUCCGGCUAAAUACGUGCCAGCAGCCGCGGUAAUACGUAUGGAGCAAGCGUUAUCCGGAUUUACUGGGUGUAAAGGGAGCGUAGACGGCGAGGCAAGUCUGAUGUGAAAGCCAUGGGCUCAACCCAUGAACUGCAUUGGAAACUGUCUUGCUAGAGUGUCGGAGAGGUAAGCGGAAUUCCUAGUGUAGCGGUGAAAUGCGUAGAUAUUAGGAGGAACACCAGUGGCGAAGGCGGCUUACUGGACUGUAACUGACGUUGAGGCUCGAAAGCGUGGGGAGCAAACAGGAUUAGAUACCCUGGUA